GACGAACGCUGGCGGCGUGCUUAACACAUGCAAGUCGAACGGAAAGGCCCAGCUUGCUUGGUACUCGAGUGGCGAACGGGUGAGUAACACGUGUGUGAUCUGCCCUGGUCUCUGGGAUAAGCCUGGAGAACUGUGUCUAAUACCGGAUAUGACCUUACAUCCCAUUUUGUUUGGUGUAAAUCUUUUGCGGUUUGGGAUGGGCCCGCGGCCUAUCAGCUUGUUGGUGGGGUAUUGUCCUACCAAGGCGACGACGGGUAGCCGGCCUGAGAGGGUGAUCGGCCACACUGGGACUGAGACACGGCCCAGACUCCUACGGGAGGCAGCAGUGGGGAAUAUUGCACAAUGGGCGGAAGCCUGAUGCAGCGACGCCGCGUGGGGGAUGACGGCCUUCGGGUUGUAAACCUCUUUCGCCAGGGACGAAGCGUGAGUGACGGUACCUGGAGAAGAAGCACCGGCUAACUACGUG
rnacentral:rRNA from 1 species